rnacentral:rRNA from 1 species
GAUGAACGCUAGCUACAGGCUUAACACAUGCAAGUCGAGGGACCGGCGUACGGGUGAGUAACGCGUAUCCAACCUUCCCAUUACUGUGGGAUAACAUGCCGAAAGGCAGACUAAUACCGCAUAGUAAUGGAUGGGGAUGCGUUUGAUUGGCUUGUUUGCGGGGUAACGGCCCACCAAGGCGACGUACAGUAGGGGUUCUUAGAGGAAGGUCCCCCACAUGUGAACGGAGACACGGUCCAAACUCCUACGGGAGGAAGCAGUGAGGAAUAUCGGUCAAUGGACGGAAGGCGGAACCAGCCAAGUAGCGUGCAUGAUGACGGCCUAUGGGUUGUAAACUGCUUUUGUAUGGGGAUAGGUACCAUAUGAAUAAGGACCGGCUAAUUCCGUGCCAGCAGCCGCGGUAAUUC